rnacentral:siRNA from 1 species
CAUCUCAUUGUGUUGUUGAUGCA